UCUUAUGUUUCUAGGGAAGAUUCCGCAUCUGCUUGAGGAACAGAUAGGGCAAGUGCGAAGGAUACACGGAAGCAUGUGGAGACAAGCGUAACAGCACACGUGCCGAUACAUCCAUUACUCUGUCAAAAGUAAAAGUAUCCCAUAUUAGCAGGGUGGAACGUACUCUAGAUUUGAUGGACUUGUUUUGACCCUCAAAUUCUUCAGUCGGCCUUAUACUCUGGAGGAAACCAGAAAACCCUCCAGCUCAGUUCAAGAAUAAGCCUAUGGAAAGUUACUUCUUCAAAAGCAAAAGUAUCUCAUAUCAUCUCUUCUCAUUUUUCUUCUCUUUAUCCUUCAUGCUGCUGCAAGAUGGGGAGAAGGUGAACAAU
rnacentral:lncRNA from 1 species